GGACUAGGUCUGUCUGCUUCCAUGGCAUUCCCAAGCGUGGAGCGCAGUGCCUCCAGGCACAAGGCAGACACUGAAACACCACCUGGAGAAAGUCCUCUGGAAGUGUGCCCCAUUUCCCAAGGGUGCGUGAAAGGAGGAAGAGUCACUGAGCUCUCUCCAGGGCAGCAUUCCUUGGAUGGCCUUGGAUUCACCAGCAGCCCUUUAGGACCUACUCUGCUGGUCAGUAAAGGAACAGCUGCAGGACUU
rnacentral:lncRNA from 1 species